rnacentral:lncRNA from 1 species
AGCAAGUUGCUAGAGUGGCCUGCCACAGUGUAAGUUUUGUUCUUUAGCUCUUUGCAAUAAAUCUUGCUACUGCCCACUCUUUGGGUUUACACUGCAUUUAUGAGCUGUAACACUCAUGGUGAAGAUUUACAGGUUCAGUCCUGAAGCCAGCGAGACAAAGAACCCACUGGGAAGAACAAACAACUCCAGACGCCCCAACUUAAGAGCUGUUAACACCCGAAGAUCUGCAGCUUCACUUUUGAGCCAGCGAGACCACGAACCCACCAGAAGGAAGAAACUCUGAACAGGCUGGAACGUCAGAAGGAACAAACUCAGGACAUGCCACCUUUAAGAACUGUAACACUCACUGUGAGGGUCUGCGGCUUCAUUCUUGAAGGCUGUGAGACCAAGAACCCACCAAUUUCGGACACACUGGGACCACCCUCGCUGACUGGAGCACUUGAGGCAAUCAUUCCCAGAUAGUGGAACCUCGAAUGGCAGACACUGUGGUUCUCCUGCGGGGCUGAGAACUGUGAGGAGCAGAGCAGACUUC